CAGUAGCCGCGGUAAUACGUAGGGUGCGAGCGUUAAUCGGAAUUACUGGGCGUAAAGCGUGCGCAGGCGGCUAUAUAAGACAGAUGUAAAAUCCCCGGGCUCAACCUGGGACCUGCAUCUGUGACUGUAUAGCUAGAGUACGGUAGAGGGGGAUGGAAUUCCGCGUGUAGCAGUGAAAUGCGUAGAUAUGCGGAGGAACACCGAUGGCGAAGGCAAUCCCCUGGACCUGUACUGACGCUCAUGCACGAAAGCGUGGGGAGCAAACAGGACUAGAUACCCGGGUAGUCCCUGUCUCUUAUAC
rnacentral:rRNA from 1 species